rnacentral:lncRNA from 1 species
CCCAGGAUUUGGGGCAGCAAGAUCUUGCUACCCCACUGCUGUGCUCUUUGGGAACCAGAGAGCUACUAUCAGACUUCUUUCCUAUCCAGAAAUGACUUAGGGUGUUGUCCAGUAUCUGAACAGACAAGGAUACUGCUAGAGGGGGCAGCCUAAUGCAAUGGUAUUAGAAAGAUUAAACCCCCCAGCCCACACCAGGAGGGUAUGCAAUGGACUGUGCCUUCAGGAAGUACAAAUAAAUUGGUAUUGCUGCACUGAAGUCAGGAGAGCCAUGUCACACCACCCCAGGCUCUGACCCACUCAUUAUGAGAUGACUAUAUGCACUGCCAGUGUUUAGCAGAGCAGCUAUACAUGCUUCCUACUAAGAGCAAGCUUGUUUUUUUUUCCUAGAAGAUCAUUGCUUUCAACUUUAGACCUUCCUAAUCCCUUGACAGAAGCUUUAACCACAAGUUUGCUUUCAUGCCGCAAGACAUGCAAGUGACCACCAAUUUCAGCUUCAUCCCCAGAGUUUACAUUAUGGGCUGUUUGCCCACAUUCGAAAGAGUGCCUGACAUCAGGAUUAAAUCAACUCUGAGGACUUCAGUAGCUGGCAAGUCAGCUCUGCUUCCCUUCUCCGCCCGUUUAUCAGAUCUGGCCUAAAUCCCAGCCUGUCCCUCUUAUGAAUUGUAUCCUGCUCACAGGCACACUCCCACGAGCUGCUGGAAGAGUUUCUCCACCAGUUUCCCCAGGGCGUGCUGGGCUGGGUGGUGCCCGAUGCCACCCCCUCAUGCCCCAGCCUGGGUGGGGAUGGCUGGAGGACAGCCGAGCCCUGCUCCAAGCAACAACCCCACCUGUCCCCAGGGAGCCCCCUGCCCACUGCGGGGACCGCUGCCACCACUCACAGCUGGGAUCAGCCUCGCACCCCCACCUCCACAUAAAUGCUCCAGCAGCAACUGUGAGAGGCCAUAAGGUUUCUUCUGUAUCACCAGGACGGAUGAUGCAUAUCCCCCCAAAUAACAAUGAACUUGUAACAGAGCUGCUGCACAGCUCGCUGAGAGGUAAUGGAACAAGCCUCAGUGUGCACGGGGGGUUAGGCAGUCCAGAAGAGAUCAGUCUGGGAGUAUUUUCUUCUGGAUAUUCAUGUACUCACGAGGCCAAGGCAAAUGAGUUAGAAGAGGCACUGGAAAAUUUAAGAUAA